GUAGGUCAGGCUCCGGCGAGUGACAGCGGAGGUCGGAGGUGUAUGCUGGGCAAGUGUAGACUGAAGCGCAAAGAGGAGAAAUUGAAGGGAUCUGACAUGCUUUGGUGAACCCUCAAUCAAAAUGGAAUAUUCAAAUCUCUCAUGGAAUCUUCCUUUUUAAUUGGAGCACCUCAGCCAUUCAUUGAAUAUGGGCCAAUUGAUCCCCAGAUGGACUAUCCCCUGUUUUUGGCGUACACAACAUCUUUGUUUGUAUGUGGUGCUAAGGAUUGAACCCGGGCCGCACGCAUGCCAGUUCUCGGCGGACACAACAUCUUUGUAUGUGGUGCUGAGGAUCGAACCUGGGCCGCACGCAUGCCAGGCGAGCGUGCUACCGCUUGAGCCACAUCUCCAGCCCCUAAAAGGUUGUUUUCUUAGUGGAAUGCUACAGGAUUUUCUUUAGCCAUCCGGAGUUCCUGCCCAGUGCCGGUGAAAACGAAAGUAGAAGAAUUUCCAGUGUUGCUGAGAACCGGACGAGACUUCGGAUCAAGCUAGCUGCCUGCAGAACUUACCUGGACUGUGAUUUACCUGGACUGUGAGUUAAUCUAUUGAGACACUGCUUUACCUGGACUGAGACAACAAACUGUAAUCUACAACAAAUUGUAACUCGGUGUCUUUGCAAACGGUGUCAUUGCUGGUAUAAUUUUUCCAAGGGCUUCUUGCAUGGAGCCAUCAAUUGGCUUGGUAUUAUGAUAUUUUAUAUCCUCCCCUUCUGCUUGUAGCAGAUUAUUUAUGGUGUUUGUGUAAAAAGCACUAUGGUCGUUAUUUAAAUUAAACAAAAGGAGGAAAUGUUAGGGUCUGUAAACAAGUCAGGAUAGUGCCUGGCAAAUGUUAAGAGUCUGUAUACAAGUCUGGAUGGCACCUGGCAUUUUGCCAGAGGGAGUGGUUUGUGAAGUAACGCCAGCGAGCCAUUAAGUGUGGAGAUUUCUUAUUGGUUGACUGCUGUAUCUAGUUUAUGUUAAUUAAGAUAGGCUCUGUGGAAUGUAUAAAUACCCCUCCUGUCCUACAAUAAAUGGCUCCCUCUCCUGCUGUAUCAAUCUACACAAA